AAUAGCGUAUAUUAAAGUUGUUGCGGUUAAAAAGCUCGUAGUUGGAUCUCAACUCUUGCCAAGCGUUCACUGAAUUGUGAGGGUUCAAGUGAACAUGGCUCGAGUAUAAUGACCAUGUUGGCCGUAGCACCGGCACUUAACUGGGUUGGUGCAUGGGUCCUUGGUCCUAUUACCUUGAAAAAAGUUGAAUGCUCAACUGAUUAGACAUUCUGGCUCCUGUGAAAGGGAGUGCAGAGCCGUCAUAACAGAUAAAAGCAUGGAAUAAAUGAACACGACCUGGUCCACAGUCGUUAAGUUCUGUUGGUCUUUACCUUAUACUGCCUGGACACAGGUACUGAUUAAAAGGGACAGACGGGGGCAUUCGUACUGCAGCGCUAGAGGUGAAAUUCUUAGACCGUUGCAAGACGAACAAAAGCGAAAGCAUUUGCCAAGAAUGUUA
rnacentral:rRNA from 1 species